GCCAGACUCCUACGGGAGGCAGCAGUGGGGGAUAUUGCACAAUGGGGGGAACCCUGAUGCAGCGACGCCGCGUGGGUGAAGGAGCGUUUCGGCGCGUAAAGCCCUAUCGGCAGGGAAGAAGGAGGACGGUACCUGACUAAGAAGCCCCGGCUAACUACGUGCCAGCAGCCGCGGUAAUACGUAGGGGGCAAGCGUUAUCCGGAUUUACUGGGUGUAAAGGGGGCGCAGACGGCAGCGCAAGCCAGGAGUGAAAGCCCGGGGCCCAACCCCGGGACUGCUCUUGGAACUGCGCGGCUGGAGUGCAGGAGGGGCAGGCGGAAUUCCUGGUGUAGCGGUGAAAUGCGUAGAUAUCAGGAGGAACACCGGUGGCGAAGGCGGCCUGCUGGACUGCGACUGACGUUGAGGCCCGAAAGCGUGGGGAGCAAACAGGAUUAGAUACCCCUGUAAAU
rnacentral:rRNA from 1 species